AAGAUAGAGGCAAUUCUUUGGUAGAGACGAGAAUCCGUCUACCCCCAAUAUAGCCAUGUUUCGAUAUACAGUAGCAUAAGGAGCAGGGUAUUGACUUCCAGGAGUCCCAAGAUCCUUGAAGGCCUUGAAAAACGGCCAAAAGACACAAGGUGAAAUCAUGCAACCCAUUGCAGUGCCAAUUAGUUGGCUCACAAACAUGGACCGUGGUGAAGAAAGGGUUAGAUAACCAGUCUUGAAAUCUUGAGAGAGGUCGGAGGCUGUGGAGACGAUAUUCAUCAUGACUCCACAGGCCGCUAGUCCUGCAAGAACUCCACCAUGAGAGCCACCAGCCCAUGCUCCAAUUACAAAAAUUGCAAGCUUGCCAUAGGUGGAAGCAAGAGACCAGUCAGUGUGGCCACAGCCAUAAGCAUUACAGAAUGCAAGGGCUGGCCCAAAGAUCGAUGUAGAUAACCAAUAUAUAAUACCAUUUGAGUUCGGGAAAUAUAUACGGUAGCGUGGCCGUGGAGAUAGCAGCUAUUGCGACAUAGCCUGCAACAGCAAACCAUGUUGGAAUUUGAUCUUUGAGAAAGAGGUGGGUGCGACGUUGCUCAUCAUAGGAGAUCCUGGAUGUCUCGGGAGAGGAACGGUCAGCAACAGGCAGAGCACCAGUUGCAUCUCUCCCACGAAGUUGAAAAAACAAUGCAGCGAGUGUUCGGCUUAGAACCUUGAAGAAGUUGUACAGACCGUCACCCAAGAUCAAGGCAGUGGCAAUAAAUACCUGUGUUCAUUGCAUAAGCGUUGGUAUGAAAGAAAAGGCUUCAAGAAAAUGUUAAAAAUCAUGUAAGGGGCAUUCUUGUCACCUUAACCUUGUUAGAAAACUUACCUUGUAACCUUGGAGGCCAUUUAGGCUGUCUGGUUUGAGGUCUGCUGGAUACCAGUCACCCUUUUUUGUGUCUAUGAGAGGCCACAUGAGACCCCAGGAAAGAAGUCCUCCAAGCAAUACUGAUAUGUUUAUGAUGUAUGGGCAAAUCAUUCCAACUCCAACAUAUGUUGCUGAGAAAUCAAAGAAAAAGCAGUACAUGUAACAAGAACAUUAUUAGUCAAAGAUACCACAACGAAUUUGAAACAGAAUGCCAUAACCAAUGGAACUACAUUCAACAUGAAGAGAGGAUUUUGGAAGGUUGAAUAAUGCUUUUACUUGUUUUCAUAUGCUUUAAGCCCGAGUGAGGGGAACUCAGCAAAUCCACAACCAUCUCCUGCAGUGUAGAACCACUGAAAGAAACCUCAUAACAAGCUGAAUGAUAAGAACUUGCCCAACGCUUUCACUUGUUUUCUGAAACGGUAGAAAGAAAAAAGUUUGAUACUUUUACAUGCCGAAUGAUCAUCCAACUAUAUGUGCAUGAGGUCUGAUAAUGCCUUACUUUGCUAGCUUGGCUCCUGCAGGAGUGUGGAAGCUGUUGAUGAGAUGAGCAGUAGCAGUGCCACUUGGAUAUGUCAAUUUGAAGUCUAUAAUCAUGAUCUGGAAAUAAUAACCAGGGUAACAAUGAAGAUUAGAUUUUGGCAAAUUCAAUACAUUCAAAAAGAAAUCAAAAUGCAGAGAGAAGUUUUCUAUUUCCUAUACGAAAUUGAAUGGCGAUAUAGCGUUGUGAAGUCUCUACCUUUCGAAGAGGCACCACUGAAAAGAGUCCAAGAAAGCUAACAACAAAGAGAAAGCCAAUCAUCCAUGACAGAGAUGGGUUCUUAAAGGCAACACUAUCUUCCGUUGAUUGUUUGGCCACAGUUUCGCUCAUUCCUAACAAAUAACUCCCAAAGCCUCCUAUUAUAAGGAAACAAGAAACAAAUUAUAGGAUGGAAACCGUUAGUACAAAAAAAAUCAACAUGCUUAAUUUCAUCUUUAGCAUAAUCACAAAUUACUUCUUUCAUUACAACAAUUUCAGUUUCGAAAGCUCUUGGAUGAUAAGUUGGAAAUGUAGUGUAUUCAUCUUGACAUCAUGCUAAUGAUUCUCAGUAAAUGAGCAAGCUUGGUAUACUAAAUUUUAUUAAAAAAUAAUAUAAAUUAUAUCCCUUUCCGUUCGUAUCUUCUGAUACAAGCAUAAGUCACCUUGAUGAAAUCUAGAUUAACAGUACAAACAAAUUAAUUAUUCAUAUUUUCUUUUCUGUUACCAACGGGGAGGACUUCUUUUUCCACUAAUCAGAAUAUUCUUACAAGACUUGUAUAACUUUGAAGUAAGCAAAUCAUUCAUAUCCAGCUCAUAUAUAUGAAUUGAAUGGUCAAAAAAGUAUCUGUCUAGAGACAUCUGCCAGCGACACUUUAUGCCUCGUGGAGGACCAUAAGAAAAAUAAAAAGCAGCCCCACCACCAUUAUCACACUUCAUGAGACAGGGAAAGGCUAGUAAAGAAAAUUUACAGACCAGUUGAUUUAACUUUUUUACUAAAGUAUAUUUGUUCAUGUCUCAAACAGCAAGUUGAAGUGUUGAUUACUUUAGUAAAACUUCACAAGUGGCUGAAGCAAUACCAGAACUGGUAGUCAUAAUUAAAACCUCAAUUUUGAUUUGUCUCCCAAAGACUUUAGGCAGUAAUGACUUAAUUCUUGUCUUCAAGGAUCAUGUAAAUCUACUCACAGUACGUAUCUGAGAUAAAAGGGAUCGAGAGAGAAACUUACAGUAGUUACUAAAACUCAGUUUCAAGAUUUGCUUCUUCUAAUUGCUAUAUUACAUGACAAGGAACAGAAACAAAACCAAAUGCACAUAAAUUUUAAUAUCUUGAUCAAACCAUGGUUAUUUAAUUUAUCAACUGGUCUGACAAAUACUUUUUUUUUUCGUACUGGUCUGUAAAUUUUCUUUACUACUCCAUGGUUUGACAAAUACUUUUUUUUUUCGUUAUGGGGUCCAUGGUUUAUCCUUGUAUUAGCCAAGAAGGAAGGCAUGGCUAUUUAAUUUAUCCAUGGUAAUUAUUUAUGUGUCCUCCUUCGCCGGUUUAGGUUACUUGUUAGCUAUUGCCAUGUUUUCUUUUCCCAUGCUUUUUGGCAUUUGUACCCAUUAAUUAUUCACCUUGCUUUGAUUUGCCAAUGUUAUGCUAUUAAUAAAGUUUCUUCACUAAUUGUGUAUUAAUAUAUACUUUUAUUCUUUUGAGAAGUCGACAUAUAUACUUCAAUGCAUGGUUGGUUAUUAAUAUCGUCAUACAUAUAUUAGGAAUUGAAUCUUUAAGCAUUUAGUACAAACCCAGAGGCAAACCUUACUGUGAUAGCAAGAAUGGAUCCAACUCCAUAUCUUUGAUUUGCCAAUGAUAUCAUAGCCAGCAAAAAGAGCAAACCUGAUACCAAAUAUAGAAAUGUUAGCCGGGAUUUCACCACUGAACGAGUUGUUGCCAAGGAUCAGUGUCUGUAGCCGAAUUCCAAACGACCUACUUCUUGGGGGAUAGUAUUGGUGAAACUGUUGUUUUCCAAGCUUAGUAGCCUAAGAAAACUCAAGUUCCCAAUGGAGGGAGAUAGGCUGCCCACCAGUUGGCUGGAGUGUAGGUCAAGCUGUAUGACUCUUUCAUCGCGUCCUCCACAUGUUACUCCUGACCACUGGCAGAAGUGUAAGGAUUCAUUCCACGAGCUUAGUUUUUUAAGGGGAUCUGAGAUUUGAGCCUUGAAAGCUAGUAGCGAGAGCUUGUCUAUCUCGCUUCCUCCUCUAGCUAAUGAGAAGGAGAAAGAGUGUUGAAUUAUUUGAAAGGAAAGAAACCACAAUAUGAAUGAACUCAUGCUUGGAAGCUUCAGUUUCAAUGGGGUCUUACAGAUUUAAAUUGAGAUCAAAUGGCUUGCUGUCACAGUGUCAAAUGUGCACGAGGUGCACGCUUCGGCAGGCUGGCCAAAACAAGGCCUAAGGGUGCUGGCAGCCAUGCCAUCAGUGGGAGAAAUCGUCAGCGCAGAUUUAUGCGGUUGAAGGUUCGUCAAAGGGAAAAUCGGCAGCGCAGAUUGUUGACGAACAUGGGCUGGACGAGGGACUGUCCAAGCCAAGCAGGAAAACUCGUCAGGGGGAUAGGCUGACGAGAAUUGGGGCUAUCGCAGAAUUCGGCAGCAUAGACAGGGGCAGCCUGCACGCAGAUGCGAAUUCAGCAGCGCAGAGAUUGGCAGCACGCAUAUGCGAAUUCGGCAGCGCAUUGGCAGCCUGCCCGCAGAUGCGGAUUCGGCAGCGCGCAACAACUUGUGCAAGUCAGGGGCUCGACUUGGCACGAUCUAAAACUUGGGCAAAGGAUUGUCCAAGGCAUGGGCUAAGAGCUCUAGGCGCUGGGACGCGCCAACGAAGGCACACUGCCUAGAAUUCGGCAGCGAUGGAUCACGGCAGCCUUGCAUAGGCAGAGAUGAAUUCGGCAGGCAGCAUGCAACGGUCUAUGCGAGUCUUUGAGCUUGCGACUUGGCAUGGACGUGGGGGCUUAGAUGAUGGACCUUCUAAGUCAGCAGCUGACACAGCAGAAGGUGGCAGCUGGGGCUGCCAAGUAGACAGCCAGGAAAUGGGGGAAGUGGCAGCUUCAUGGGAGGCAGAACGUGGGAGCAUAACUGGGGUGCUGUCCGGGCCACUAUGUCCUGAAAACAUGGGAUCAUGGGUGAGAGGUAGUGCUCCACCAUGUCCUGAAAACAUGGGAUCAUGGGAGAGAGGUAGUGCUCCACUAGGUCCCGAAAAUGGGGGAUAAUGGGGAGGAGCCUUUGCAGCUCCUUUGCUUGUCUAUAAAUACAAGAUGUAGCUCUUGGUUGUGGGAGGAGCAUUCGGGUGGGAAUGUUCAGAUUGUAAGGGCAUUCGGUUGGGAAUGUCCAGCAUGUAGGGGCAUGCAAGAACAUGUGUAGAACACUAGUUAGAUGUAGCUUGGUGUAGCAUGUAAUCUUUGUGCAUAGCACACAUACGGAUUUGUGUAUAGUUUCCUUUGUGUAUGAGAUUAAUAAAGGUUGGGAAAGAGUUCCUGUAAAGCUUGUUGUGCACUAUGAUUCUUAUCCUUGCUUGUGUAUUCCGCUUGCUUAGUAAUUAGGCAAACACGAGUGAGAUUGGUGAGGGAAGGCUGAGUCUAGUGAGGGACUAGGCUGCCGCACGGGUUUAUUCGCGUAGCGAAAAAUACCCCCGUGACAAUUGGUAUCAGAGCGCGGUUGCUUUCGUGGCAGGAUGACGAGAAUAAUUCUGUGGCCAAAUCAACGGACUGAUUUGGGAGAGCUACUGCUUCUGCCGAUGGAGAAGCAGAUUUCAGCGCAAUGAUCAGCGACGAGAAUGCUGAUGUUUCUCGGGACAAAUCGAAGGGACUGAUUUGGGAGAAACAUUGCUGCUGCUGAUGGACUGGCAGAAACUUUGGAGCAAGAGCGCAAUAUGCGUUCAUGACGAAACGAUGGGCUGUUUCGUAGCACAGACGAUGGGCUGUUCUGUGGGGGCAACUCGAAGGGCGGAUUUGUUCCAAGCCAUUUGAGGAAAAACUUGCUAGCGUUUUGGGCAGUGUUGGUGUUCAAAAGGCCUGCGGAGUUUUGGGGGUUUAACUACUCCAUGGGUGACGCAAAGUGAUGAUAAAGGGAUCAGCUCAAAAUGGGUGCUGAUUCGGCCAUGGAAACUGUCAGGUGGACUGGCAGACUUGAGAGCAGGGGCCAGCGGAGGGGCUUCUGGGCGCUUCUGUAUUUUCAUCAAAGCCUUAAGAGAAGGAUGGGGCGAGACAGAAGAAGAAGCAAGUCAAUGUGGAGAGCCUAAACUUGUUGCUGCUGAUGAUGGAUAGUCAGACGAGAAGGCAAAUCGGUAAGGGUUCGAAACUGAAAUUUGCAUUGUUGUUCUCUUGUGAUGGAAAUUACUUUGUGCGAGAUUGUUGCCCAAGGAGAGGAAACCUUGAUGUUGCCAGUGUGGAAGAUGGUGUUUGAGAUUAGGCAUAUGUAAACCUUAUACGUUUGCUAGAUGACCGAGAUGGAAUUCAGUCAUCAUGAGCCAGCAUAUCGGGGUGGAUGCAGUCUGGCCUUGCUUGCUGCCUUGGUGGCAGAACUUAGGGAUUGUUGUGCAUCUCAAGAAAGGAAUGUUCAGGGAGGUGGAAGAAAAAUCCAGAGAAGACCAAGUUGAGGGCAGACAAAUCUACAAGGAUUUGUUGUGGCUUUGCUGCCUUUGUGGAGGCAGAGUUGAUGUCUUCGGUGGAGACCUUGAUGAUGGACAGUUCAGGGUGAAGAAGACAGAACAGUGGCUGAGAUAGACUUUAGUCACGUUGAGACCAGGAUUGGAGGCGUUACAGAGGAGGCAGUACCGUGGGGGUGUGUCUCAAGGAGUCUGCACGUUGUCGAGGGACAGACUGGGUGACGGAUUCGGCAGCCGCUCCAGUGAGCUUGGCGUGGAAGCCAAAAUCGUCGACGAAGAUGAUUUUGUGUGCUGUCUUGGAAUCAGUACGAGCGGAUAUUCUGUGCAUUGCGAUGGUUGCAGUGAUGGAAGCAGAAUGCUAAUGACCUUUGUUGGGACAAAGUGUUGUGAGUUUUCGGCAGACAAAACAUGCAGCGAAGGUUGAAAACAGUAGGGGCUGCUUUGCGUCAGCGAAAACUUGUGUAACUGACGAAGUUUCUAGGGCAUGACAGUAGCGCAUGGGGGAACCAGGUCAGACGAAACUUGAUGCUGGGAUGCUAUGUUUUGUGCUAUGGCAGGUUAGAGAUGGACUUAGAGGGACUUGCCGAAAGACUUCGACAUGAGAUGAAGUUGAUCAUCGAAACUGAGUGGGUGCUAGGUUCAACAGCACUGUCUCAUUCUUAUUUCUUGCAGGUGGAGAACCUAAAAGGGCUGAUGGCAAUGGGAAGUCAGAAGCCAAGGGCAAGGAAAAGGUUUCGGAAUCAUGUUUGGGCUGUUUGAUUUGUGAGGGGAAGCACUUCACAAGGGACUGCCCAUUGAAGAGCACAGCUGAGUGCUACUUCCGUGGAGAAGGAUGGAGAGGGAACGACAUACGUAAAUCCUAUACGUGUGCUCAACACUAAGUAAAGAGUUAGUGUGAAGGGGCCAGCGUAGUUGAUGAAGACUUAGGCGUGGCCAAACUGCCUUGUGCGAGGCAGAUUCGGGGGAGUUUCAUAACUUUGACGAUGGACAGAUCAUGGUUUAACUCUAGGCGUGAGAAUGCGCCAACGAAAAACACACUGCAUAGGAUUCGGCAGCGAUGAACAGCAGCAGCCUUGCAUGGGCAGAGGUGAAUUCGGCAGGAUGUGUUGGUUGUGGAGAAGCGAGAUAAGUAAGCAAUAUUGGUAAUACUUGCAGUUUUGGGGCACGCAGAACGGUUGGAGAACUAGAUGUUUGUAUGGGAGCUCAUGUGGUUCUUCGAAGUGAUUUUGUGUGGAUGUAUUUUGUAAAGGAAGGGACGGAUUCCUUGGGUGUUAGGCGUGGCAUCUAAACUUUGCGAAAACAUGCUUGCAAGUAUGAUGUGUUUGACAUUUGUGGAAAACUAACGAGCCAAAACAGAAUGUGUCACAACUUGGUUUUUUGAAACAGGUUGACAAAGAUUCGGUGGACUGAAUUUGUUGUUGAAUGUGGGAAAAGCUAAGAGGUUUCGUGCGGAGAAACAUGGAUUGUGACGAGGAACAGAUGCAGUGCAAGGGUACUUCAAAUCUGUCCGACGAGGGCGUCGGGUUCUUUUGGUGGGGGUGGUUUGUCACAGUGUCAAAUGUGCACGAGGUGCACGCUUCGGCAGGCUGGCCAAAACAAGGCCUAAGGGUGCUGGCAGCCAUGCCAUCAGUGGGAGAAAUCGUCAGCGCAGAUUUAUGCGGUUGAAGGUUCGUCAAAGGGAAAAUCGGCAGCGCAGAUUGUUGACGAACAUGGGCUGGACGAGGGACUGUCCAAGCCAAGCAGGAAAACUCGUCAGGGGGAUAGGCUGACGAGAAUUAGGGCUAUCGCAGAAUUCGACAGCGUAGACAGGGGCAGCCUGCACGCAGAUGCGAAUUCGGCAGCGCAGAUAUUGGCAGCACGCAUAUGCGAAUUCGGCAACGCAUUGGCAGCCUGCCCGCAGAUGCGGAUUCGGCAGCGCGCAACAACUUGUGCAAGUCAGGGGCUCGACUUGGCACGAUCUAAAACUUGGGCGAAGGAUUGUCCAAGGCAUGGGCUAAGAGCUCUAGGCGCUGGGACGCGCCAACGAAGGCACACUGCCUAGAAUUCGGCAGCGAUGGAUCGCGGCAGCCUUGCAUAGGCAGAGAUGAAUUCGGCAAGCAGCAUGCAACGGUCUAUGCGAGUCUUUGAGCUUGCGACUUGGCAUGGACGUGGGGGCUUAGAUGAUGGACCUUCUAAGUCAGCAGCUGACACAGCAGAAGGUGGCAGCUGGGGCUGCCAAGUAGACAGCCAGGAAAUGGGGGAAGUGGCAGCUUCAUGGGAGGCAGAACGUGGGAGCAUAACUGGGGUGCUGUCCGGGCCACUAUGUCCUGAAAACAUGGGAUCAUGGGUGAGAGGUAGUGCUCCACCAUGUCCUGAAAACAUGGGAUCAUGGGAGAGAGGUAGUGCUCCACUAGGUCCCGAAAAUGGGGGAUAAUGGGGAGGAGCCUUUGCAGCUCCUUUGCUUGUCUAUAAAUACAAGAUGUAGCUCUUGGUUGUGGGAGGAGCAUUCGGGUGGGAAUGUUCAGAUUGUAAGGGCAUUCGGUUGGGAAUGUCCAGCAUGUAGGGGCAUGCAAGAACAUGUGUAGAACACUAGUUAGAUGUAGCUUGGUGUAGCAUGUAAUCUUUGUGCAUAGCACACAUACGGAUUUGUGUAUAGUUUCCUUUGUGUAUGAGAUUAAUAAAGGUUGGGAAAGAGUUCCUGUAAAGCUUGUUGUGCACUAUGAUUCUUAUCCUUGCUUGUGUAUUCCGCUUGCUUAGUAAUUAGGCAAACACGAGUGAGAUUGGUGAGGGAAGGCUGAGUCUAGUGAGGGACUAGGCUGCCGCACGGGUUUAUUCGCGUAGCGAAAAAUACCCCCGUGACACUUGUUGUGAUGCUCUAUGGAUCAAACAUUAAAUAGGAAAGUAAGGAAUAUUCCUUACAUCCUUAAGAUGCUUUCAGACUCAGCGAGAACCUUUUUCAGAUUCAUCAACCAACAUUUGAUCCCCACAUUGGUUUUAAGUCAACUAAGGUUUAAUUGGUUCAAGAAAAUUAAUGUUCAAGAGUUUCCAUUUUCACAACCCCUUGAAGACGUUUUCGAACGUCAGACAUGAUAUCGAAAUGGAUUGUCACCCGUCAAUCUCGCGGAGAAGUUAGUGACUUUUUGUUUGUUUAUUUUGAAGAAGCUUCACCUAGUAUUUAAUUUAAUUUAAUUAAAAAUUACUAAUAAAUCCAAAAAUUUACUAAGAAAUCCAAAUGUAUUUAUCGAUGUCAAAGAUUUUUAGAAUAAAAAAUUGAUUGUGACUAAAAAAAAUUCCUAACAUACCCUAUCUAAAAAAAAUUACUUUACAUUUUAAUAUAAUUUAAAAAUUUAAAAUAUUAACCAAAUUCUUAAGGUUUUAAUAAAUUAAUUUUUCUUACAUUUUCAUAGAAAAAAUAAAAUAAUUUUAUUUAUUCUUUAAAUAUUUAACCAUAUUCAAAUUAAACACUUAAUCCUUUUUUAUCUUUUUAGUUUUUAUAAUUAAAUAACAUAAAUAAAAAUACAAACACACAGUCACCUCUUUUCUUAUUAUUAUUUUUCUUAUACAUCCCUUUUUACAUGUAAAACAAAUAACAAAAAUUCAAACUAAAUCAAAUACAAUUCAAAAAUUACAAAACAAAAACCCAAAAAUCUACAGUAAUUGCAGGGAAGGCCCGGAACAGUGCUGGAAGGUUUCUGGGCGCGGGAACAGUGGCGGCGCGUGGGUUCACGCGGCGCCGCAGGAAAGUCCAACAAGCAGGGGGCUCUGGAACGGUUUCCUCCUCUCUUCUCUUCCCUGCCCGUGGUGGCUUUCACCGUGACCUGCAACGAAAGAAAACGCACAAGCAGUCGGUUUUAUUUUGUUUUCUAGAUCUGUCCAGUUCCUCCGCCUUCUCCCUUCUCUGUUGGUUUUCCUUCUGCCGAUGGCCGAUCUGGUGGCUGGGAGUGCUUCUUCUUCUUCUCCUCCGCUUCAGGUGGCUGGCGGUGAAGAGGAACGACCGAGAAGGGGGCGUCGCUGCUGGACCUGUUCGGCCGCCGCUGGGGGCUGUGGAGGAGAUAUGAAUGAACGCAGCGUGUUGAUGGCUAGGAGAGGGACGAUGUGGCUGAGGGGAGAAGGGAGGAUCUUUUGCCGGGAAGGGGAAGAUCCGCAAGGUCUGGCCGGGGCAGGAGCCAGAACGGGAGUGGUGGCUCUGGUGAGGUCAAGAGGGAAGAUGACGGGGAGAUGGGGGAAAUGGUUAGAGACCAGCUGCUUUGGUCAAGGGAGGGGCCAUGCUUUGGAGUUCUGGUUCUGUUUUUAUGGGUAUGGAGAGGGAAAUCAAAUGAGGCCCGGGGCUUGUGUGGUGAGCUGGGGAAGAAAUGGUUGUGGGAGCAAAAAUCCCGAAGCUCUCGUUCGGGUCAGGGAGUUCUGGUUCUCUCUUUUGCCAGGAGGCGGCGGUUGUAGCUUGGAGAGAGAGGGUUUGUGGUCGGCUGAAUUUUUCUUCCGCCAAGAAAAUGGAGGGGGUGGCCUUUCUUUUUUGGCAGAGAUGGCUCUCUGGUUCUCUUUGGCCAAGUUUCAGGGAGGCAGCUCAGAUGGCCAUAGGGGGGCGGCGGCUUGUGCUCUCUGUCAAAAGGAGAGGUUUUUUUUACUCUUUUUUUUUUUUUUUCUUCGUCAAAAUGAAGUUUACUGUAGAAUAGUAUAUAUAGUUUCAAACUAUUCCCUCAAUUUGUUUUUUCUUUAUUUUUGUAAAUUUUGAUUUUCCUUUUUUUUUUAAUUUUUAGUAUUAAAAUUUUUUUAUCAAAAAUAUAGUCAAUGCAUAACAACAACAAGGGUACAAUUUUCGAAGUCGAUAAGAAGGUUCCUUCUUGUUGUUUUGUUUUUCCCCUCUUAAAGACUAUUCUUUCUUCAUCGUGGAAAUUAAAGUCCAACACAUGACAAUGUUUCACGUGCGACACUAACAAUCCGAUCAUUUUACUUGCUUGUUAUUUUAAUUCCUUGGAAUCAGCAAAUGGACGAAAAAAGUCAGAGUGUUGCGUGCUCACAAGUAAUAACCAUUCAUUUUCAAAGUCAAGACACGCGUGUUCAAAUCAUCAUUCAUUUUCCAAGUCAAGACUGUAUGAGAAAGGAUUUAUAAAUUCCACAACGAAUAAAUAAAACCUCUCUCCCAGUAAUUGCUUUUUUUUUUUUUUUGUUAUUUCAAAAGUAUAUUCAAUCAUUGCCAAGCAUAGCGGGCCACAUCAUCUGACACCGCUCCCUGUAAAGUCAAAUCCAAGCAUCCGUAAAUGUUGAAUACUUUUCCAAUUCCAAUUCAACAUAUCGUGUCUCAUAUAUAUAUAUAUAUAUAUAUAUAUAUAUAUAUAUAUAUAUAUCAGCUCGCUAACCCUCUCCAUCUUUACAAUCACCCAUCUCGCACACUAGCUCUCUCUCUACACAUACCAAGACAUACAUUUGAUUCCCAAAAAAUCUCAGGUUUCCUUCGUGUCAGAAAUGGGGUCUAAAGGAGAGGCUCGAUACUUGACAAUAAUAGUACUCCUUGUUACCAUUAUUUUGUUAUCAUGUUCUAACCUACCUGUGAUAGAGGGGCAACGAUCUCGAUGCACAUAUGACCCCAAAGAUGGUAAGUGCAAAUUCGGUGAACCAGCUGCAGCUCAAAGGUUUGAUGGGGGGGGGAGUUAGGAGAGGUGGUUUGACCUAAUCGUAUGAUGAAUGAGUAAUCGUUUAUCCUUGUAUUAGCCAAGAAGGCAUGCAUGGCUACUUAAUUUAUCCAUGGUCAUUAUUUAUGUGUCCUCCUUCGCUAGCUGGUUUAGGUUACUAAUUAUACUAGCUAUUGCCAUGUUUUCUUUUCCCAUGCUUUUUGGCAUUUGUACCCAUUAAUUCUUUCACCUUGCUUUGAUUUGCCAAUGUUAUGCUAUUAAUAAAGUUUCUUCACUUAUCUAAAAGAAAAAAAACCUAGCUAAUUGUGUAUUUAUACUUUUUUUUUUUUUUGAGAAGUCGACAUAUAUACUUCAAUGCAUGGUUGGUUAUUAAUAUCGUCAUACAUGUAUUAGGAAUUGAAUCUUUAAGCAUUUAGUACAAACCCAGAGGCCAGCACAUUAAUUUGUUGUGUAUUUUGGUUUUGGGCAUCCCAAAAUGCUUUUUUCCUCAUACCUUUCAAAGAAAUGGCUACGCAUCCCCUCUUGCGAGAGAGGUCCACGAGAUAGAUUGAACUAUUUUAUCAUUGGAAUUAAAAAAAAAUAUGGAUUUUACAUUUUGGGUCAAAUCAAAUUGUGUAUACUAAUAAAAUAUAUAUAUAUAUAUAUAUUAAAAAAUAAUAUAAAUAAUAUUUUAAAAUUUUAUUUAACAACUUAAGUUUAUAUUAACAUCAAUUAAAUAUCUAGAUGACAUAAGGUAUUAAAUUAGUCAUCUAAGAUUAGACGUGCAUAACAAGAAAAUUCAUCUCUAUAUAUGAUAGUGACUCAGGGACAAAUUUGUUCUCACAUUGGAUUUAAAGACGAAACUCAUCUCCCUUUAAGGAAAAUUCAUGGUGACUAAUUUCAUUCCUUAUUUAAGGAAAUAAAAACUAAUUUCAUAUCCAAAUUAAGUCUUUAAUCCUAGUGAUUAGAAUUUCAAAUCUUAUCACUCUUGUUCUUUUUAAUUAGAUUAAAAAUUAUUAGCAAGAUAGUAAUAGCCCUUAUUCUCUCUAAUUAAAUUAAAAAAUAAAUAUAAGAUAUAUAUCCAUAAGAUAUGUAAAUUUGUACUUGAAGAAGUGUGCCAAAAAAUUAUAUCGUAAAUUCUUUCCUGAAAAAUAGCCUACAAGGAAGUUUAAAUACAAAAAAUAUUAUAUAUGCUUAUUAGUAAAAUCCUAAUUAAAUUUUAAAUUCUAAUCUAAAUAGGGAGAACAAUCCAAAAACAAUAAGAAAAAUAAAGACAAUCUUAAGCAAUAACUUUUAGACUAAAUUUAGCAUGUUCAUGAACUUAGAUGAAGUUGUCUUACUAAUCAUUUAAGGAAUAAGGCCUUUAGAAUGUUUUGAAAAAAAAUUUAGUUCAACUCAAUGGUCGGAUGAUAAGUUAUACUUAUUUUUAUUAUAUUAUCCAUUGGACUCAUUCGAAACUCCUCAAAAUCUAAAAAAAUUUAACAAUGAAAAAAAUAAAGAAAUAAAACAAAUUAUGCUAAGGAUAAUAAAUAUAGUGCCCUACUUUAUUCAUCUCACUUAUAAAAAAAAACUUGCUUUUGAUUUAAGUGUUAGAAACUGAACUCUUCCAUUCUAAAAACAUAGAUACUUUGAAUAUAGCUUUAUAGUGCAUACUCCCUAAGUAUAAUGUCUUUGAUUCGUGAGUUUCAAAUUCUAAUUUAUGAUGUAAGCAAGCUAAAGAAGGAUCCAUAUCAAAUAUUACACCUUUUGUUGUUGUAAAGUUCACUAAUAGUAGUUCACUGGUAGUUCCUUCACACAUUUUUAUACUUUAAACAUGAUCUUUGUUGUAAAAAACCUGCAGCAAUUAUUGAUGAAUAUUGUAAAAGGAUAAAAACUAGAAAGAACACAAGAUUUAAUGUGAUUCGACUAUGUGUCUACAUCCACAUGAGCGAUGAUCUUUUAUUUUUCACCAUAUGUCAAAUAGGAUUACAUAAUAUGUAUCUAUAGUAUACCCUAAACCGCUUAAGGGUCUAACCGCCUAAGAGAUAUUAUAAUUUUUUUAAUAAUACUCAUUUACCAUAUCAUGGAGGCAUUGCCCCACACCCUAAUCUAUCAAUCAUUCUUAAUAACAAAAUAGAAAAUAAAUCAUAACAUGAUUGUCAUAACCCAAUUAUGGGUUAUUCCCCAAAAAUUAAUUUUUUUUUCAAAAUAAAAAUCAAAAAAUAAAAUAAAGACUGGCAACGUGGAGAAAGCAGACUGGGAAAUCAAGCUGUAAUUUUUAAAAGAAAUUCAAGGCUAAUUGUACCCCAUUGUGCCCAAAAAUGGAGGAAAAAUAUGCAAAUUCAAGGUUAAAUUAAAUGAUUAUUGGACGAAUUUGCAUAAAAAUUAAGUUCAAUGACAUAAUUAAAUUUUUAUAGGCCAAUUUGAUUUAAUCAUUGGCCAAAUUGAAUUUCAAUUAUGUUUAAGAAUUAAUUUGGGUCCAAUUAAAGGAUUUAAUUAAGUGCAAGGACUUAAUUAUACUUUAAAUGGGUCAAAUUAAUUUUAUUUGGGGCUUAAUUGAUGAAAAAUUAAGUUUGGAAGCCUAAUUUGGGCUUAAUUGAGAAGAUUGGAAUUUUAAGAGACUAAAAUUAAUUUUUACCAAGUUAAUUGAUUGAAAUUAGGGGUUAAAUUGCAAGAAAAUUGAAGUUUUGGGGUCAAUUAGGGGUUAAAUUACAUAAAUUCGAGACCAUGGACUAUAUUACAAAAGUCGAGGCUCAAAUAGUAAUUCAUCAUGGGCUUAAUUGCAAAAGUUUAGGGUCAAUUAGGGGUUUUAUUGAAAGAAAUUGAAAGAGGAAGGACUGAAAUGAACUUUGGCCAAAAAUAGAUUCUGGUACUAUUCAUCUUUUUCUUUAAUUCUCUGAAAUAGUUGGUCUGGUUACCUACUUUACAGCUGCAUUUAAUGUACCUAACGUCCACCAAAUUUGCCCAAACUUGCACGAAACUAAUCACCAGACAUCUCUCUACAUCUGGGUAUGGUCUUCACCGGCUCACUAGCAAAGAAACGGACGUUAUGCCUACUUUGAGCCAACGGUUGGGUUCCUUCCCAUCUGAAUCAAGGGCUGAAAUUUUUCUCCAGUAUAGAUAAGAUUGCCCUCUUCCACCGCCUAUAAAUAGAGGUGGAUUUGAUGGCCUGAAGAAGGAGAAAAUCGGGUCCAAAAUAAGCUAAAAAAUCAGCCUCUUCCUGGUUUCUGUCACUCUCUCUGUUUUUCUGUCUUUCUUUCUCUCUCCACCGUGUCUUCAGCUGUUGAAGACCCCACAGAAAAUUUUCUCCUCCACCAACAGAUGGCUGCUCAGCCUCUCCACGAGCCCAAAUCCUCACCGGCGAUAGGGGCAGCCACUGCGAGGUUCUCUUUCUCCCCGCUGCAGAUUUUCUUCUUCUGCUUCUUCUUCUUUCUUCCUCCGUCAUUGAACACCGUGUCUUCAGUAGUUUAACACCCCCACAUAAACCUUUCUGCUACACCAACAUACGGUUCUUUAGUGUUAGAGAAGCCACUGCGUCUCUCUCCUCUCCUUCCUCUCCUCCUUCUCCCCUCUGUAAAUUUCUUCAUUUUCUUCCUCUUCCAGCUGCAGCCACUCCAGCCAACUUAGGCAGCCACCUCCACCGCCGUUUCCACCACCGGUUUCAGGUCGUCCUCCCAGCCAGCCAUCACCGCCACGCCAGGUGGUCCGCCUCCCUUGCUUCGCCUUCGUCUCCCCGUUCCACUGUUUUGAACAGUGGAUCGUGAAUUAUAAUUUACGUCCACAGUUCCAGUGGAAUAUAUAUAUAUAUAUAUAAAAUCAAAAAUCUUUUAAAAAAAUUGUGAUUUUCAAAAAUAUUUUUCCAACAAUUUUUCAUAAUAUUGGGUUAUAUGUUUACACUGUAAAAUACAAAUCCAAUAUUAAAAUACUCGGUUUUCUCCAAAAUAUUUCAAAAAAAAUAAAACAUUUCAAAACAUUUGCAAAAAAGAAAAAAAAUAUUUUGUUGCAUACGACCAAAUCCUGAAAUUUUUCCAAGCAUAUUUUUCAUAAAAAAACAAAAAUUGCAUCUUUUUCAUGUUUUAAAAAAAUCCAAAAAUGGAUAUCGUAACCAGUUUAUGAUUAUCCAUUAAGAUUUGGCCAACAUGUCAAAAAUCUUUUUCCCAUCUUUUUUUAGGAUCUAGAUGUAGACUUUAAUAUUUUUGGAGUGUAAAAUUACACGAUAAAGUACACCCUCAGGUAUUAAAGAUACAAGGUAUAUAAAUGCGAUGCUAAAAUUCAGACCUUAGAACGAUUAUGAUUUAACCCGAUAAGGUAGAGACUCUCUCAUGAAGAGAAAUCUGCCUUGAGUCUUAGAAAAGACCAACGAAUAGAAACCCGACUUAGAAAAAACAAUCAAACAACAAUGCAACUUACUUUAGGUAGGUGCACUGGGGGUGAUGUGUCUUCCCCUUACACAACCAGUCCCUUACUCAGACUCUCACAGACCAUAGGUUCCUAGUAACCAUAAUACUUGGUGGCGACUCCUAAACAGUAAUCAUAAUUUUAUGAUUAAAUCCAAAAAUCCUUCCCAACACACAACACCUCACACAGGAGGCACGACAAAGAGCCUCCGCCGUCGCCUGACGACGUCGCCCCGCAACAAUGAUAGAUACCAUCAUUCCACUUAGUCUAGUAUUUGUCUAUACGAACUACAAACUACUUGUUAUUAUUCAUUUUUGGGUCCCCGCACAAAAAAAAAAAACAUUAUCUGAAGAAAACCAAAAAACAGAUAGCAGUGAGAAGAAGACAUAAGAACAGCCAGAAAAUAGCUAAAGAUUGGUUGAGGAAGUUCAAAAAUACAAAGAUUGAAAUUUGACAGUAUAUUUUUUAUCUGUGAAGACUUUAUUUACAAAGAAAAUUCAACUUGAUGAAAAAAAGUUCAAAAUCAGAUGUUUAAGGACUUAAAUAGAUUUUAUUGAAAGAUUAAUUGAGUUUGUAAAGGGUCUGAUUGCAAGAAAAAUUUAUUUUUAAGUCAAUUUUGACUUUAAUUAGAAAAAAAUUAAAGUAUGGGGGUCAAAUUAUAAUUCUUAAGAGUUAAUUUGGUCAAAUCAGGGGCUUAAUUGCAUAAAUAUUGAAGUUUGAUGGGCAACUAAGGACCUGAUUGAAGAAAUCCAAAACCGAGGACCCAACUAGAAAAGGCUCGUAAAUGUAGGGGCUAGAAUUGACCGAAUCAGGGGCUAAAUUGAAGAAAUUGAAAGUUUGUUGAUCAAUCAAGGGUUAAAAUACACAAAUUCAAAACCAAUAACUAAAGUGAAAAGGGCAUCUAACAUCAAGGUUGAUAUUUGAAUUUGACAGGGAUGCAAUUGAAUUUAUUCUUAAAAUCAAAAUUGUAAUUGAGGACUUGAUUGAAUAAAAAAAAAUUAAGGACUGAUUUGAAAAUUGACAUGUUUUGACACUAUUUUAAUUUAAAUGAAAUGAUGCGUUUUGUAAAAAAACGACGUCGUUUUAUUCAUUGUUCAUAUAUAUAUAUAUAUAUAUAUAUAUAUAAAGCCCAAAACGGUGUUGUUUUGAACGACACUGUGUAUCUUCUUCUUCCCCUAACGCACAAAGGCAGGGGAAGAAGGUUUUUCUUCCAUUCCUUUGCAGCGUCUAUCUCUCCCUCUCUCCCCCUCCCCUUACCCAAAAACCAUGACUCCACCCAUAUGCCCUCACGGCCUACCACCAUGAUGAAAGAGGCAGAGGGGAAAAGUACUACGAGCUGCUCUAGGACGACUACACAGAGACCACCCUAGCCACCAUACCUCUGCGCCAUGACUAGACAGGGGUAGUAGCUCUCUCUGCUAUCUUUCCCCCUUAUAAAUACCAUGGGACGAGAGAAAAAAACAGCGAGAUAAAGAGAUGAAAAGGGGAGGGAAGAGAGCAAAAAAAACAGAAGAGAAACAAAAAGAAAUAGGGGAGAACAAAGGAAGGAAAAGGGAGAGAAACAAAAACAAAAAAACAUAGAAAAAAAGAAAGAACAGGAGAGACAAGAACUAGAGAAGAAAACAAAAGAGAACAAAAAAAAUAGAGAACAAGAGAGGAACAAAAAAAAAAGGAAAGAGAGGAAUUCCAUGCCCCUGUACAGAGAAGAAAAAACCGCAACAGCAACCACCGUUUUUUCUCCCCACCGUCGCCUGCUUUCCUUGUCACCAUUAUUAGCACCGCCGCGAAGCCACCGCCAGGUCAACCUCUUCUCCUUCUCUUUUUUCUUCUUCUCCUUCGGUCACCCUCCACUAUUUUGCAAGUGAAUAGUGGAGAGUGAAUUAUAAUUUAUUUUCUACUAUUCACUUACAGAACAGUAAAGAGUCUCUCUACUGUUUAUUAGGUCGAACCAGUUCCGUCCCAGACCAAAAUGGUGGGGUCAGGUUCAGCCCAGUCCCAUAAAUAGAAAAGAAGUUUUGUUGGGCUGACAACGACCUAACCCCUAUUUUAGGCUGGUGUUGGCCCAACUCUUUUUGGCUGACUUUGGCCUAAUUUAUUUUGGGCUGAUCUCAUCUUAGACAGGAUGGGCUCCGCCCAUAUAAUUGGGCCGAGCCCAUCCCAAUAUAUUAUAAUAUAAUAAUUUAUAUAAUAUAAUAUUAUAUAUUAAUUGAAAACAAAAACAAAAAAUUCCAAAAAUCCUUUUAAAAAAAUUAUGAUUUUCUCUCGUAUUUUUAUAGCAAUUUUGAUUAAUAUUGGUUUUUAUUUUUAUACUGUAAAAAUAUAAAUCCGGUAUUAAAAUACUUGGUUUUCUAUGAAAUAUUGCAAAAAAAUAUAAAACAAUAUCAUGUUUUCACGCAUACGACCAAAUCUCUCAAAAAUAUAAAAAUUUUCAUAUUGUAUUUUCAAACCAUAACAAAAAUUCAAAAAAUAUGUAUUAAUAUGAUUUUUGAGCAUUAAUAACCAAUUUAUUAAAGCUAUGAGAAUUAGGUCAAUAUUUCAAAAAUACAAAAAAAAAUUAUUUUAUUUUCUUUUAAUAUCUAGGAUUACGAACUUAUACGUAAAAUGUAUUUUCAAUAUUAAAUAAGAGUUGGUUCUUUUUUUUUUGUUGAUAUUAGAACGGUUAGGUUUUUUCCGAUAAGAUAAAGAUUUCCUUACCGAGAAUGAUUUUUCUUAAACCUUAAACAAUCCAACCAUUAGAAAACACGACAAUACUCUAGUUAUAUCAGACAAUCAAACAAUACAGCUUACCUUAAGUAUGAUGUAUUUGGGGUGCUAUUGCAUUUUCUUUAUGCAACCAGUUCCCGUACCUGAUUUCUGAGACAAUUAAGGUUUCUAGUGACCAAAAUACUAAGUAGUGACUUUAAUUUGCUUUUUUUUGUUAUGUAUGGACACAAACUGGCUGUUGGUUGCCAUGUCAAACAUGGUUGCAUGGUGAAGAUCAAGAAUUGUUGCUGAAUAUUACAUAUAGUGGUAGGAGUAGCUGCUAUAAUUGACUAAAAUGGGGAUGAUUGUCUCCUAUAUCAGAUAUAAAUAGAGGGUGUUAAUAAGACCUGAGUGACACACGAAAAUAGAGAAAAACACGGGGAGAGAGAGAGAGCUAGAGAGAGUUGAGUUGAAUAGAGAAAAAUUUUCUACUCCUCCUUAUUUUAUUGUUUGUAUUGUUUCUAAGUUUGAUUAAUAUAAAAUAGUAACUCUGUGGAGGAGGCAGAUUGCUUAACUAAAUAAAUUGUGUAUUUGAUUUCUAAAAUUUUCUAAUAUUUUUUUAUUAUUAAAUAAUAAAAAUUUCUUAUCCUGUUUAUCUCUCGAUUUCUAAAUAUUAAAAAAAAACUUGACUCAGGAAAUGUACGAAAUAGUCACAGUUUUGCGUGCUCACAAGUCACAAGGUAAUCUACCUAUAAGCAACCAUUUUCAAAGUCAAGACACGCGUGUUCAUGUCAUCAUUCACAAUUCAGGAAAUGUACGAAAUAGUUUUUCUUGUAUUUUUUAAAAAUGAUCAAUAUUAAUAUCAAUUCAAUAAAAUUUAAAAAAUAAUAUGUGAAAAGUCGAACGCGUUUCAAAAACCUUUAAAAAUUUAAAUUCUUUUUUAAACGACAUUGAAAAUACUAAAAACGAUGCAAAUAUAUUAAAAACAUAUUUUUUUAGAUUUUCAUUAUUUUUCACUAUUUUUGAAUUUUUCAAAAAUUUUAUCAAAAAAAUGAAUAAAAAAUUAGGUAACAUCAAUACCUAUAACCAUUCAAUUUCAAAGUCAAGACACGCGUGUUCAUGAAGUAUACGUAUCAUCAUUCAUUUUCCAAGUCAAGACCGACUCUUGAAUUAAUUGUAUGAGAAAGGAUUUAUAAAUUCCACAACGAAUAAAUCAAACCUCUCUCCCAUUAAUUAAUUGCUUUUUUGUUAUUUCAAAAGUACUUUUUUUAAUUUUCAAUCCAAUCAGUCUUUUAAUUAUCUUUUGUCAAUUUUUACUCAGUCUUUUGUACUGUUUUGAUGUCUUAUAUCUAUUAUAUGUAUGAUAGUUUCUCAGUUUUUUUGGAUUUGGAAAAUUUUUCUAGGUCGCUGGAAGAACGACUCUGUGACCGUAUCCUUCAUGUAUCGAAUUUCCAGCACUUAUUUUACAUCAGCCACUUGCAGGUCAUGAGCCCCCUGCUCUUUUGCUUUCCGACGAAUAUAAUCUUUCAUUCAUCAAAAAAUCCAAAAGAAGAAGAAAUUAUAUUUACCUCAGCAAUGAAUGACUUUUUCUCGGCUGCGAAGAGCCCAAGACCUUAAAUUUGCAGUUUAUAAAAGCAACUGAAGAGCUUAUUUCAAUGUUUAUUUGUGCAUUAAUAGAUAAAUAUAUUAGAGUAGGGCAAUAUUGUGUAAUCUUCAAUCCCAUCAUACCACAGAAAAAAAAGAUCAAGUAAAAGUUGAGAGUGGUCAGUUUUUGAACAAAACAGGCACUUAAACAGGUUUUGACUGUUUGUUUUGAAGGGCCACGCCAGAAGUUUAAAAAACAAAUAUCAAAGAAAUUUUAUUUAUUUGACUACUUAAAGAACCUGGACAUGAUCCACAUUACUCCCGUUUAAUGUUAAUUUCAACCUAUGUCACAAGUCACAACUGCUUCGAAGAAAAUAAUACGAAAGUACUAUUUCGAGGAAAGUAUAGUUUUCCAAUUCAACAUCAUGGAAAAGUUUUUGAAAUGAAUUUAAAUGUUGAAUACUUUUCCAAUUCAACAUAUUGUGUCUCAUAUAUAUAUCAGCUAGCUAACCCUCUCCAUCUCUACAAUCACCCAUCUCGCAGACUAGCUCGCUCUCUACACAUACCAAGACAUACAUUUGAUUCCCUAAAAAUCUCAGGUUUCUUUCGUGUCGAAAAUGGGGUCUCAAGGAAAGGCUCGAUACUUGACAAUAAUAGUACUCCUAAUUGUUACCAUUAUUUUGUUAUCAUGUUCUAACCUUACUGUGAUAGCAAGAAUGGAUCCAACUCCAUGCACAUAUGACCGCAAGCAUCCUAGUGAGUGCCACAUCGGUGAACCAGCUGCAGCUACUUAAUUUAUCCAUGGAUAUUAUUUAUGUGUCCUCCUUCGCUGGUUUAGGUUACUUCCUAGCUAUUGUCAUGUUUUCUUUUCCCAAGCUUUUUGGCGUUUGCACCCAUUAAUUCUUCACCUUGCUUUGAUUUGCCAACGUUAUGAUAUUAAUAGAGUAUUGUGUAUUUACAAGUUUUUUUUAGAAGUCGACAUACUUGUUGGUUAUUAAUAUCUUUGAUUUGCCAAUGAUAUCAUAGCCAGCAAAAUGAGCAAACCUGAUACCAAAUAUAGCAACUGAUCAUAACCUUACCAGUUUGAGUAAAAUCCAAAGAUAUUACGUACUGGUGCAAAAGUUGUGAUAACAUCAAACAGCAAAACAACAGCUGAGGAAUUGAAGGCAGGAAAGCAGCAACCCAGAAUAACAACAGCGGUCUUGGGUGUGAUUCUGGAAGGUCGUAUACGAAUAAGGAAGAAGAAAUCAACAACGAUAAUUGCAAUAUGUUCAAAAUAAACAUGCCUGCAACCUGUAAUAUUUGCACAUUCACUUUUGAUAUUUUCCGUUUGCACAUUGUUUGAUGCAUCUGUUCCACUAUCUUCUUCAAACUAGACAAGAAAAAAACUACAAGCAUAUUUCCAAGGAUUGACUAACAAGCAUAUAUAAGUAAAUGGACAUUUGAUUUUCUUCUCCAGAAAUGAUUAUAGAGAAAAUAGUUGUUCACUCCACAAAUAGCAGGUGAUUAUCUACAGCAUUUUUUAGUCGAACUUCAUAUGUAAACUUCAUAACCUUAGUCUGGGAAGCAAUUCAGCUCUAACUCACAGUUUCUAUUGAAGUUCAUCUGAACUUCAAAUUUAUGACCCUAAGAACGCAUCGACCUUAGCAUUUGUUCUCCUUGACAAAAACUUCAUGCAAAUGGGAGGUUUUACUCCUGCUAGAGCAAGUAUCGAACUAGGCAAAGUCCAUAUCCCGUCCCCACAAAUCAAACCAGAAGCCACUGCUGGCCCAAAAGCAUCUGCCUUUGCCUUGUCAAUCUUUUCCCAGAUAAAUAGAAUCAAGCUUCCCACACACAUGUCGAUGGCAAAGUAUGAGCCAAUAUAGAAAGGUAUAGCCAUUGCCAUUGGAUUGGGAAUGAACCUAGCCCGUUUCUUACCCAACACAUCCUUGAUCAAAUUUAUCAGAAUAGCUGCACCGAAGAACCAAUAACAAAGAUAGAGACAAUUCUUUGGUAGAGACGAGAAUCCUUCUACCCCCAAUAUAGCCAUGUUUCGAAAUACAGUAGCAUAAGGAGCAGGGUAUUGACUUCCAGGAGUCCCCAGAUCCUUGAAGGCCUUAAAAAAAAGCCAAAAUACACACGGGGAAAUCAUGCAACCCAUUGCAGUGCCAAUUAGUUGGCUCACAAACAUCGAACGUGGUGAAGAAAGGGUCAAAUAACCAGUCUUGAAAUCUUGAGAUAGGUCAGAGGCUGUGGAGACAAUAUUCAUCAUGACUCCACAGGCCGCUAGUCCUGCAAGAACUCCACCAUGAGAGCCACCAGCCCAUGCCCCAAUUACAAAAAUUGCAAGCGUCCCAUAGGUGGAAGCAAGGGACCAAUCAGUGAGUCCACAACCAUAAGCAUUACAGAAUGCAAGGGCUGGGGCAAAGAUGUAGAUAACCAAUAUGUAAUACCAUUUCAGUUCAGGAAAUAUAUGCGGAACGGUGGUUGUAGAAAUGGCAGCAAUUGUGACAUAACCUGCAACAGCAAACCAUGUUGGAAUUUGAUCUUUGAGAAAGAGGUGGGUGCGACGUUGCUCAUCAUAGGAGAUCCUGGAUGUCUCGGGAGAGGAACGGUCAGCAACAGGCAGAGCACCAGUUGCAUCUCUCCCACGAAGUUGAAAAAACAAUGCAGCGAGUGUUCGGCUUAGAACCUUGAAGAAGUUGUACAGACCGUCACCCAAGACCAAGGCAGUGGCAAUAAAUACCUGUGUUCAAUGCAUAAGCGUUGGUAUGAAAGAAAAGGCUUCAAGAAAAUGUUAAAAAUCAUGUAAUGGGCAUUCUUGUCACCUUAACCUUGUUAGAAAACUUACCUUGUAACCUUGGAGGCCAUGUAAGCUGCCUGGUUUGAGGUCUGCUGGAUACCAGUCACCCUUUUUUGUAUCUAUGAGAGGCCACAUGAGACCCCAGGAAAGAAUUCCUCCAAGCAAUACUGAUAUGUUUAUGAUAUAUGGGCAAAUCAUUCCAACUCCAACAUAUGUUGCUGAGAAAUCAAAGAAAAAUCUGCACAUGUAACAAGAACAUUAUUAGUCAAAGAUACCACAACGAAUUUGAAACAGAAUGCCAUAAUAAAUGGAACUACAUUCAACAAGAAGAGAGGAUUUUGGAAGAUUGAGUAAUGCUUUUACUUGUUUUCAUGUGCUUUAAGACCAAGUGAGGGGAACUCAGCGAAUCCACAACCAUCUCCUGCAGUGUAGAACCAUUGAAAGAAACCCCACAAGAAGCUGAAUGAGAAGAACUUGCCCAACACUCUCACUUGUUUCCUGUAACAGUAGAAUAACAAAGUUCGAUACUCUUUCAUGUCAAAUGAUCAUCCAUAUAAGUGCAUGAGGUCUCAUAAUGCCUUACUUUGCUAGCUUGGCUCCUGCAGGAGUGUGGAAGCUGUUGAUGAGAUGGGCAGUUGCAGUGCCACUUGGAUAUGUCAAUUUGAAGUCUAUAAUCAUGACCUGGAAAUAACCAGGGUAACAAUGAGGAUUAGUUUUUGGCAAAAUCAAUACACUAGGCAAAAAUGUAAAAUGCAGAGAAAAGUUUUAUAUUUCCUAUAAUCAUAUAAAGAAAUUGAAUGCUGAUAUAGGUUGUAAAGUCUACCUUUCGAAGAGGCACCGCCGAAAAGAGUCCAAGAAAGCUAACAACAAACAAAAAGCCAAUCAUCCAAGACAGAGAUGGAUUUUUAAAGGCAUCACUAUCUUCAGUUAAUUGUUUGGCCACGGUUUCACUCAUUCCAAACAGAUAACUCCCAAAGCCUCCUAUUAUAAGGAAACAAGGAAAAAAUUAUAGAAUGGAAACCAUUGGUACAAAAAUCAACAAGUUUAAUAUCAUCAUAAGCAUAAUCACAAAUUAGCCGUUUCAUUACAAUAAUUAAUUCAGUUUCGAAACAAGUUUGGCAAGUAAUCAGGCUUUUCUUGACUAUUUGGAUAAGUUAGAAACAUAAUGUAUUCAUCUUGACAUUAUGUUAAUGAUUCACAGUUAAAGAAAAGGUUUGAUUAAUAACUCAAGCUCACAACUAGCAUUCUAGAAACAGAUAUUAUUCACAUUUUCCUUUCUUUUACUAAUGGAGAAGACUUCUUUUUCCACAAAUCAGAAUAUUGUUAUAAGACUUCCUGACAUAAAUCUGAACUUAGUAAGUCAUCCAUAUCCAGCGCAUAUGAAUUGAACUGUCAAAAAAGUAUCUGUCAAGUGACAUACCAGCUGCACCCCUAACAUUAUCACACUCCAGGAGACAGAGAUAGAUUUGUUCAUGUCUCUAAUGGUAAGUUCAAGUGUUGAUUAGUUUAGCAAAACUUCACAAGUGGUAGUCAUAAAGCCUCAAUUUUGAUUUGUCUCUCAAAGACUUUAGGCAGUAAGAGAUUCUUUGUCUUCAAGGAUCAUGCAAAUCUACUCCCAUCUGAGAUAAAAGGGAUCCAGAGAGAGAAAAAUGGUUGCCUUAUCAUGUAAUCUAGCAAUUAGAAGAUGGAAAUCUUGACAUUGAAUUUUAGUAACUACUGUAAGUUUGCAACCUUUAAGAACAGAAACAAAACCAAAUGCACAGAAAUAUUAAUAUCUUGAUCAAAGAAACCUAGAUAUCUCCUCAACUUCGAAAGAAAAGAGAAAGAAAAUUGAAUUUCAAAAUAAUUAAGAAAGAUGAAAUGAAAAUUAAUGGCAGUAAACAGUAUAGAAAGUAUACCACUAAAGGCAAUGCCAGAGGAGGCAACCACGCAAGUCUGUAUUACAGUGUUCUCUUGCCUCGUAAAGGGUUGCUUCAAAAGUCCAGACUUUUCAAGAAACUUUGUCCAGGUCUUGAUAAAAAAGAAGCCCAGAAGGCCAGCAGAGACAUUGAGGGAAGGUAUGAUACCAGUUGUAAGAUUGAGCUUCAUUACUAUGACGCAGAACAAAAUGCUCAACACGAAGCUCACCACAAGGGCCCUCAGUGUCAGCUGAUUCCUCCAUGAUGGCACUUCUUGGUUCUCAAAUAUUCUUUCCACUGACAACUCUUCUUCUUGUUCCUCUUUCUUGUCCUUCUUUCUGUGACCAUGAUCAUCCUCCAAAUCAUGAUCAUUCUCUACCUUGGUGUCGUCUCUUUCAUUACGUUCCAUUUUAUUUUCUUAAAAGAAUGAUUCUUUAUGGAGACGAAGAGAGUUGGGAGCGUGUUUAAUAAGUGGUUGUGAUUAUUGCUCAACACAUCACAAGCAAAUUGAAUACGAUGAAUAUGAGGAGUUGUUAAAAGUUAAAACGGGUUGUUGUAGUGAGUUUAACCUGUCUGUUUUUUUGGGUUAUUUUUUUUAAUUUUAUUUAAUAUUUUUGAAUUAUUUUAAUAUAUUAAUAUUAAAAAUAAAUUUUAAAAUAUAAAAAAUAUAUUAUUUUGAUAGUUUUUAGCAAAAAUUAUUUUAAAAAACAUCUAUUAUUAUAUUUUUAAACACUCUUUAAAAUAACAAAAUGACUCUAAAUGACAUGUGUUUGAGUUAAGUUUGUAAUUUUUAUAUAUGUGAUCUGUAGGUACUUUUAAAGAAGUAGAUUAGAAAUAUAGUAGAAAUUAUUUUUAAAAUAAUCUCAAAAUAUUAUUUUAAUAUUUUUUUAAAUUAAAAAUAGAAAUUAUUUUCAAAACAAUUUGAAAAUAAAAAUAUUAAUUUUAAAAAGGAAUGUUUUAAACAAGUUACCAAAUGGCCACUGAAUCCAAUGCCAAAAGCUUCUAUUUCUAAUUUGUGGAAGACGAGAAGUCAAUAGUCAAUUUCCAAAAAAUUAAAAAAAAAAUAAAGGGAAAAUAAAAGAUCUGUGAAUGUCCAUUGUCCAAAGUUUGUGGGAAAAAAAAUGAUAUAAGAAAUAAAGAAAAUGAUAUUAAAUUACUUAAAGAAGCUAGACUAGAAUAUAGUAGAAUUUAUUUUUAAAUCAAUUUAAAAACACUAUUUUAAUAGUUUUUAAAUUAAAAAUAAUUUAAAAAAUAAUUAUUACUAAACUCCCAAAAACCUUUAAAACAAUAAUCAUGCAUAUGAUAUUUUUCAGCUUCUUUUCAUAUUCUUAGGACAAGCCUUCAACAUAUUUGUUACAAGUCUCAUAUUCGCUGAAGCUUUUAUCGUCUUCCUCGACGCAUCUGAUAUUUUUUCCAUCUUUUUUUUUCUCGUGUUGGAUAACUAAGUCUGGCAUGGUUUUAUUGUGAGACUGAUAAUAACACAGAUGCACAUUGGACCACCUGAUAUGAUCAUAGCUAGCAAAAUGAGCAAACCUGAUACCAAAUAUAGCAACUGAUCAUAACAGCUCACAAAGGGUACUGUAAUUUUCACUUUUCACAUUGCUUGAUGCAUCUGUUCUACUAUCUUCUUCAAACUAGACAAGAAAAAAAACUACAAGCAUAUAUAUAUAUAUAUAUAUAAGUAAAUGGACAUUUGAUUUUCUUCUCCAGAAAUGAUUACAGAGAAAAUAGUUGUUGCCUUGUUGGCUCCACGGAAUAGCAGGUGAUUAUCCACAGCAUUUUUGAGUCGAACUUCACAUGUAAACUUCAUAACCUUAGUGUAGGAAGCAAUUCAGCUUUACUUCACAGUUUCUAUUCAAGUUGAUCUGAACUUCAACUUUAUGACCCUAAGAACGCAUCGACCUUAGCAUUUGUUCUCCUUGACAAAAACUUCAUGCAAAUGGGAGGUUUUACUCCUACUAGAGCAAGUAUCGCACUAGGCAAAGUCCAUAUCCCAUCCCCGCAAAUCAAACCAGAAGCCACUGCUGGCCCAAAAGCAUCUGCCUUUGCCUUGUCAAUCUUUUCCCAGAUAAAUAGAAUCAAGCUUCCCACACACAUGUCGAUGGCAAAGUAUGAGCCAAUAUAGAACGGUAUAGCCAUCGCCAUUGGAUUGGGAAUGAACCUGGCCCAUUUCUUACCCAAAGCAUCCUUAAUUAAAUUUAUCAGAAUAGCUGCACCGAAGAACCCAUAACAAAGAUAGAGGCAAUUCUUUGGUAGAGACGAGAAUCCGUCUACCCCCAAUAUAGCCAUGUUUCGAUAUACAGUAGCAUAAGGAGCAGGGUACUGACUUCCAGGAGUCCCCAGAUCCUUGAAGGCCUUGAAAAACAGCCAAAAGACACAAGGUGAAAUAAUGCAACCCAUUGCAGUGCCAAUUAGUUGGCUCACAAACAUGGACCGAGGUGAAGAAAGGGUCAAAUAACCAGUCUUGAAAUCUUGAGAUAGGUCAGAGGCUGUGGAGACAAUAUUCAUCAUGACUCCACAGGCCGCUAGUCCUGCAAGAACUCCACCAUGAGAGGCACCAGCCCAUGCCCCAAUUACAAAAAUUGCGAGCUUCCCAUAG
rnacentral:lncRNA from 1 species